rnacentral:rRNA from 1 species
AAUCAACGCUGGCGGCGUGCCUCAGACAUGCAAGUCGAACGAUUAAGACCCUCUUCGGAGGGUGUAUAAAGUGGCGCACGGGUGAGUAACACGUAGGUAAUGUGCCUUUGGGUGGGGAAUAACUUAGGGAAACUUAAGCUGAUACCGCAUAAUGCAGCGGCUCGACAUCGAGACAGUUGUUAAAGGAGUAAUCCGCCUAAAGAGCAGCCUGCGGCAGAUUAGCUAGUAGGUAAGGUAAUGGCUUACCAAGGCUACGAUCUGUAACCGACCUGAGAGGGUGGUCGGUCACACUGACACUGAAUAACGGGUCAGAUUCCUACGGGAGGCAGCAGUCGGGAAUUUUGGGCAAUGGGCGAAGGCCUGAACCAGCAACGCCGCGUGAAGGAUGAAGUAUUUCGGUAUGUAAACUUCGUAAGAAUAGGAAGAAUAAAUGACGGUACUAUUUGUAAGGUCCGGCUAACUACGUGCCAGCCGCCGCCGUAA